ACUCAAAUGAAUAGACGGGGGCCCGCACAAGCGGUGGAGCAUGUUGUUUAAUACGUCACUAACCGUAGAACCUUACCAGGGCUUGACAUCUGCUGACAGCCCAUGAAAGUGGGUUUUCCGAGCAAUCGGACAGCAAGACAGGUGUUGCAUGGCUGUCGUCAGCUCGUGUCGUGAGAUGUUGGGUUAAGUCCCGCAACGAGCGCAACCCUCACCCAUGAAUUCGCAGUUGCCAGCGGAUAAAGCCGGGAACUCUUGGGGAACUGCCCGGGUAACCGGGAGGAAGGUGGGGAUGACGUCAAGUCAGCAUGGCCCUUACGCCCUGGGCUACAGACAUGCUACAAUGGACGGUAAACAAAGGGACCCGAGACCGUGAGGUGGAGGCAAUCUCAAAAAUCCGUCCCCAGUUCAGAUCGCAGGCUGCAACUCGCCUGCGUGAAGUCGGAAUCGCUAGUAACCGCAGAUCAGCGAAGCUGCGGUGAAUACGUUCCCGGGCCUUGUACACACCGCCCGU
rnacentral:rRNA from 1 species